CGGGGGGCAGCAGUGAGGAAUUUUCUGCAAUGGGCGAAAGCCUGACAGAGCAAUACCGCGUGAGGGAAGAAGGCCUAUGGGUUGUAAACCUCUUUUCUCAAGGAGGAAGAUCUGACGUUACUUGAGGAAUAAGCAUCGGCUAACCCUGUGCCAGCAGCCGCGGUAAUACAGGGGAUGCGAGUGUUAUCCGGAAUUAUUGGGCGUAAAGCGUCUGCAGGUUGAUUUCUAAGUCUUUUGUGAAAUCUCUAGGCUUAACCUAGACUAUGCAAAAGAAACUAUUGAUCUAGAGUUUGGUAAGGGUUAAGACAAUUUCCAGUGGAGCGGUGAAAUGCGUAGAGAUUGGAAAGAAUACCAAUAGCGAAAGCACUUAACUAGGCCAAUACUGACACUCAGAGACGAAAGCUAGGGGAGCGAACAGGAUUAGAUACCCGGGU
rnacentral:rRNA from 1 species